CUAACCGCCAGCAAACAACACAAGAAAAAGAACCAAUAGCGCGAAAUGCAAAUGAAAACAACGUGUGUCAACGGCACAAUGAGUUUUAGAAGGAAACAUUUAGAAUCAGUCAUGACUUCCACAGCACUCCUCAAAGACGUGGUGGCGUAUGUUGAUGUGUGGUCUGCGAGCCGGAUGGAGGAUUACUCUGAUCCGUUCAUCCAGCAGCUGUUGAGCAUGGGUGCAGAGGUAUCGAAGACACUCAACAAACAAGUGACCCAUGUAGUCUUCAAACAUGGCCGCCUGUCCACAUGGAAGAAGGCCCAGACAAUGGGUGUUAGGAUUGUUUCUGUCCACUGGGUAGCCAGAUGCAAAGAGAGUAACGAACAUGUAGACGAAGAUCUUUUUCCUGCUCAGAAUGAAGUAUCCAAUUCCAAACUUCAUCAUCUGAAUAAAAGAACCCACCGUUGCAUGCAGCCUAGAGAUUUUCCUAUAAAGACCCCUGAGAAUGACAGGCGACUGAAAAAAAGAAUUGACAAGAUGAUGGAAGACAUGAUCUCCUCAUCCCCUGUUGUUUCAGACACUUCACCAUUCGUUAUUGAUGAGGAAAGUGGAAUAGUGUACAGUCCCUUUUUAAAACGCUCUGACAGCAUGGCUCAGCGACUGAGAGAAAUGAGAGCGCAACGUGAACAUCUCUCACCCACUGCCUCACAGAUGCAGGAAAGCAGCUCAGGAUAUGAUUCAUCUUUGAGAACUUUUCUUGGAGCAUCUCCAGCACCGUCUUUCUUGCAACAGCUAGAAGAAGAGCCUUUGGAUUGUUUAUCAACCUCUCAUUGUCACUCCUCGAAGAAAAGAGAUGAACAAGAGAAGCAGAACUACAAUAAGUCAAUAACAAAAAUAACAAGUAAAAUAGAUCACACACCUCCUGAAUCAGACACAGCCAUGACCAUGAGUAAUCCGUCCAAUGGUGAAAGUAAUGUUAAUGUUCCAUCAUUAUCUUCAAGAUCACAACAGUCUUUAGUGAACUACACUGGAGGAAAGAAGCAGUCCACUUUAAAUAGUUUCUUUCAUAAAACCUGCUUUGAAAGAAAACAAAGCUCACACCUCAAACCAGAAACUGAAAACAUUGGCAUAUUUACAGCAUUAUCCAGCAGCCCUGAAAAACGUGAAAGUUCCCAACCUGAAAGCCUCACAAAAACAAAUUACAAAAAAUUCAAAAGUGUACAGCACUCCAAAGAACUGCAGACCAACUCUAAACGUUCCUAUUCCAGGGAUUCAUCUUCAGGAUGCAGUCGUUUCAUAUCAAAUGAAAAUGUCAUUCAAAAUGAUGGAUCUGUUACAUUUAAGCCUGUUCAUAAAUGUCAACGUCAAACUUCUGCUGCACUGUGUUCAGCUGACUCGAUUGGUGAUCUUCCUAGAGAUGUUGAAGAUGAUGAGGUGUUUGAAGACAUCUUCUCACCAGCCAACAAUGCCCUUAAACAGAGGGUCAUUUUGUUUGGUUCAACCUCAGAAGCAGUGCACAUGUCCACUUUUGACCUAGAAGACUCAAACAAGAAAAGCAAGAGAUCGUCUAGUAAAAAGCGAAAACAUGAAAAUAUUAAUAUUAAAGACUUGGUUCAUUUAUCGGACCCUGUGGAUAUGAUGGAGGAAAUUGCUCCUGAGAUGCAUGAAUCAAGGCCUGAAUGUUUGUCUGUGGAGACAUUUGAGGUGCCGCAGUCUUCCAGGUUGGAAGCAAAAUUCAAGCCGUUGGUAAAGAAACCAAGAAAGCAAACUAGGCUGAGCUCUGCUGUUCUCUCUGAAGUGAAGGAACGUAAAAGCUCAUUUAAAGUCAGUCUUGCUAACGAAAAGGCAUCAACGGCUUCCUCUCCAAUGUCACCCUCUGUGGUUAACAUGAAGCUGCAAAUACAGAAGUUUCUCAAACCUGACCCCGACCCUAAACGUGGUAAUGAAAAGAGACAGAUGGGUUUAAAAAGUAUGUGAAUUUUAUUUUUUUAUAUGUAGAUUGGACAUUGCUUAUCUCUAAACAGAACUGAUUUUUUAAAUUCAAAUGGCAGGGCUUGGCAGAAUAUUGGUAGAAAGUAUUAAAAUGUAAAAGCUGUCUUUCAGGUGAAAACGUGCAUCCCUAGAGCUGUAUGAAAUUGUACUUAGUGGCUGUGCAAUGAACUCUAGGUCCCUGCUAAACUAACAAAGCAUUCUUUAAUAAGAUGAAUUCUUUACUUUUUACACUCUAUACCUUUCUUUGUAUUAGUUGAGAAAAGUUCCACAAUAAAGUAUGCUUUUGAAAUGUUGCACGGUUGACCAAACAUUCAAGAAAUGCUCUUGUCUGCUGCUCAGCUGUGUUGCUGCACACCUGCUGUGCUGUGUGCAGCUCUCCUCUGAACUCAACUUUCUUUGUUUGCAUUAUUUCAGUUGCAGGAGAGAAUAAAGGGAAGAAAAGCACAGCUUAUGGGAUAAUUGAGUUAUGAAAUGUGUAGCAAACCGGAAACUAUGAAAAAGGACAAGUACAUAAAGAAAAAUAGAUCCUUGGUAAUGACAAGCAUGCCCACUGAGAAACAAGAGGUAGUCUUCCAGCUGGUCAGAAAUCUGGGUGGUUU